rnacentral:lncRNA from 1 species
CAUGUAUGAAGACAUGGAAUCCUGAGCCUAAUUUAGUACUUAUAUAUCAAAAGCUUUGCUCUGCUGACAUCCAUCUGCAUCACAGUUUAACCUGCACAUUUAGAAAACAUAUGCGGGGUUGAGUACUAAAAAAGUACUCAAUGGUCACAUGCCGAAAUAACUUUAAAGCUUGCUCUUAGAGCUAUAUAUUGAACUUGCCAUCUCAAGCAUCACACAGGAGUUUUAUAUAAAUAACCUGUGCACGCCAAAACUGUAAAACUUCUAUACAUAUAUAUAUAUAUAUAUAUCAUAACAUCAUAUACGUCUGCAGACAAUUAACAUGUAUGUACCAUAACUACGCAUCAUGUAACCUUGUGUUGAGAAGUAGGCCUCCUUCUCAAACACAGUGAUCGGCCCGAAGGCUCCCGAUCACAGUGACCGGCCAACCCGCUCGAUGACUCACAGUCACAACUAUGUGCACAAACCCUUACUGACAUCUCGCUUCAGCAUAGGGCCGAUAUCGUCUAUCUCUCGUAGAUGGUAACAUACAAGCUCAUAAAAAUAAUUUGGCAAGUCAAUAACUUUAAUAUAACUUCAUUCAUAUAAACAUCAUUAAAUAGUGCGCACUUCAAAUUUUGAGUUUAGAAAGCCCACCUGAUACGCUUAAUGAAGUAGAAAUCCUUGCUUGUUCACUUUAUAAAGCCACUCGAACCUUCAUCAUAAUGAGGUUCCCAAGGUAAGAUUGGAUAGAUAGACAAGGAAUAAAUAGAAAAGAAGUCUUAGUUGAAACUUAUAUCUCUUGAAACUUUAGGGUUGCUUCCUCUAAUCUAAAUAAUCUACUUUUCUGAACUUAACUUAUUAAAAGCAUACUAACAUAUUAUCUAAACCACAACUUAAACUACGAUAAUUGUAAAUCUGGCGUUAAUCAUAACUCCGCUCACAUUAACUAAAAUAAUUCUACAUGUCUAGGCCAUUUAAUAAAUCAAACUGAUUAUUAGCUAAUAGCUAAUAAUCCUUUAUACAUAUUUACUAGGCUCAAAAUAAUAUAAACUCAGCUUAAUUAAUAAUUAGGGCGUAACUGUAUAUUAAAAUCAUCACUAAAUUAAUAAAUAAACCCAACAACUAUCUUAUGCUAUCUAAACCCAUUAGAAAUAUUAAUAGGUCCAUUAGAAUUUCAUGUCCAGUAUUUUGUAAGCCCAACUAGAAAUAAUAAUAAGCCCAUCAGAAAUAGCUUAAGCCCAAUUAAAUAUACAAGUUUAACAAAUAAUCAAAUCCAUCAUCUUCUUCUCAAAGUAAAGAAAAUCAUAUUUCUUUCUUUAAUCGGUUUCUCUUUCUCAUUUAUCAUCAAACAUCUACAUCAUCAUACAAAAUUCUCAUCUCAGUUCUCUAUAUCUCAACUCAAUUCUAUAUUUCUCCUAUAGAAUUCUCAUGGUUCUUGUCAUCUCUAUCGUUCAUCUAACAUCAUGCAUCAAAUCAUCAAUCUCAAAACUCUAAUGUGACACCAAACUCUCUAGUCAUCAACGUCAUCUCUAUAUGAAAGGGAAAAUUACCUCUCUCUCAAGGUCUUAUGUACCAAGGCUCUAACCCAAAAUGAUGCUCUAACUAUACCAGCAUCAUAGGUACUAAGUGCCUAUAGAUAUAUAAAUAUCAACUAUACAUCUUCACAUAUGUACACGUCUACUAGAUACACAUGGUCGCCAGUCAUCGUCUCCUGAAAUCCUGCUCGUCGCAUUAUCAUCCUCCAAAUCCUCACUCAGCUCUAACUCUCGCACUCGUUGUUCAGUCGAUAGAAACAGCUGGGGGUAGAGGUGCAAUUGUAAACGGCUGUUCGGAAAGUGGGGGCAUAACAGCUAAUCUCCCUUCCUUGGGCUGGUCCCUUAGGCUCUCCAUACAGCGAUGAAGGUGGCUCGAAGUCGCGAUGAAGCCACGAAAAUUGGCGCUCACGAACGCCCGAAUUCAGUCUUCAAGGUAUGUUGCGGCACCAGCGAAGCCGCCCGUCUUGCCACUUGGGUGGCAGUUGUGGAAUCAAAAACGUAAUGGCCUCCGCACCGUCAAUCCCAUAGAGAAUAGCCCUCCUCCAUCGUUGGUGAUAGUGUGCCAGAAGUUCACCCAAGGUGUCAUCCUCGUCCGGAAUAUACUCCUUGGACCAUCGCUGCAUCGUUGUCUCAAUGUAACUCGGCAUCUCAUCCUUGUUUGGUACGGUGGGGCAUCGGCUAUACUAGCCUCAACAUCUCUUCUCAUCUUCCACAUCAACUUCCUCACAUCAGAAUUCAUCAUCAUCAAACAAUUUCGUCAUCAAAACAAUACAUCACUCACUAGUGCAUCAAACUCAGUUCUCAUCAGAAAAGCGAUAAGAAACAACAUCAACCUCUUACCUCGUUAAGCCGGAGGAGAUGGGGUGUUGGGGUGUCGUUUCAAAAAGACUCUCUCUCAAGCUAGUCUAAGAACUCAAAUUAGACUAGUACUCAAUCAAGCAAUUAACUCAGAGCAGACGACCUGCUCUGAUACCACUCUGUCACAGGUAAGCCUCCCCCUCUCUUUCUCUCUCUCAAGACCUCUGUCUAUAUCUCUCUCUGUUCUCCUUCUUGGUUUCUCUCUCUCUGUUGUGGUGGCCCCCGCGGAACGCCGUGGCAUGGGCAGCGCCGGCGGUCGCUGCCGUCAGUUGCGCCUCCGCCGCGGUGGCUCGCGGCUGCUGCUGCUGCCGUCCCUUCCCUUUGUUUAAUUCUUUCCCUUUUUCUUACUUAUUCCUAUUUAAUACCUCAUAAUAAUAAAUCUCUAACUAUUUCCCUAUUUCAGGAAUCGUUGAUUCAAGAUAUCUCCACGUGACAACUCUCCUACAUCGCUGCUCUGUUCAAGACUCUACCUUUCUUCCUUUCUUUUUAUUUAUCUGGUUGCAAUAUCAGCUGCUGAAAAUUAGGAUUUUGAGUGCUGUUAUAAAUUGCGUUUCUAUCUACUUGGUGUAGCUAUUAUUCAUCUCUACAAAUCUUAGUUGCUGCUCUUUACAUAACAAAUUAUGGAACUGAAUAAAAGAAAUACUACCUGCUUUAGUGAAUUCCGCGAAAGACUGUUGGGGAUAAAUGACUGUGGAAGAUAUGUGUUUGAAUGGAUGAUUGCUAUUGUGUUCAGAAAGAAGGAAAAACGAUUGAACGUGAGAAAGGAU